rnacentral:rRNA from 1 species
GGGUUGUGAGGUUAAGCGACUAAGCGUACACGGUGGAUGCCCUGGCAGUCAGAGGCGAUGAAGGGCGUGCUAAUCUGCGAUAAGCGCCGGUAAGGUGAUAUGAACCGUUAUAACCGACGAUACCCGAAUGGGGAAACCCAGUGUGACUCGUCACACUAUCAUUAACUGAAUCCAUAGGUUAAUGAGGCGAACCGGGGGAACUGAAACAUCUAAGUACCCCGAGGAAAAGAAAUCAACCGAGAUUCCCCCAGUAGCGGCGAGCGAACGGGGAGGAGCCCAGAGCCUGAAUCAGCAUGUGUGUUAGUGGAAGCGUCUGGAAAGGCGCGCGAUACAGGGUGACAGCCCCGUACACAAAAGCGCAUGUGCUGUGAGCUCGAUGAGUAGGGCGGGACACGUGGUAUCCUGUCUGAAUAUGGGGGGACCAUCCUCCAAGGCUAAAUACUCCUGACUGACCGAUAGUGAACCAGUACCGUGAGGGAAAGGCGAAAAGAACCCCGGCGAGGGGAGUGAAAAAGAACCUGAAACCGUGUACGUACAAGCAGUGGGAGCACCCUUUUGGGUGUGACUGCGUACCUUUUGUAUAAUGGGUCAGCGACUUAUAUUCUGUAGCAAGGUUAACCGAAUAGGGGAGCCGGAGGGAAACCGAGUCUUAAUUGGGCGUUAAGUUGCAGGGUAUAGACCCGAAACCCGGUGAUCUAGCCAUGGGCAGGUUGAAGGUUGGGUAACACUAACUGGAGGACCGAACCGACUAAUGUUGAAAAAUUAGCGGAUGACCUGUGGCUGGGGGUGAAAGGCCAAUCAAACCGGGAGAUAGCUGGUUCUCCCCGAAAGCUAUUUAGGUAGCGCCUCGUGAAUUCAUCUCCGGGGGUAGAGCACUGUUUCGGCUAGGGGGCCAUCCCGGCUUACCAACCCGAUGCAAACUGCGAAUACCGGAGAAUGUUAUCACGGGAGACACACGGCGGGUGCUAACGUCCGUCGUGAAGAGGGAAACAACCCAGACCGCCAGCUAAGGUCCCAAAGUCAUGGUUAAGUGGGAAACGAUGUGGGAAGGCCCAGACAGCCAGGAUGUUGGCUUAGAAGCAGCCAUCAUUUAAAGAAAGCGUAAUAGCUCACUGGUCGAGUCGGCCUGCGCGGAAGAUGUAACGGGGCUAAACCAUGCACCGAAGCUGCGGCAGCGACGCUUAUGCGUUGUUGGGUAGGGGAGCGUUCUGUAAGCCUGUGAAGGUGUGUCGUGAGGCAUGCUGGAGGUAUCAGAAGUGCGAAUGCUGACAUAAGUAACGAUAAAGCGGGUGAAAAGCCCGCUCGCCGGAAGACCAAGGGUUCCUGUCCAACGUUAAUCGGGGCAGGGUGAGUCGACCCCUAAGGCGAGGCCGAAAGGCGUAGUCGAUGGGAAACGGGUUAAUAUUCCCGUACUUGGUGUUACUGCGAAGGGGGGACGGAGAAGGCUAUGUUGGCCGGGCGACGGUUGUCCCGGUUUAAGCGUGUAGGUGUGUGUUCCAGGUAAAUCCGGUUCACUUUAACACUGAGGCGUGAUGACGAGGCACUACGGUGCUGAAGCAACAAAUGCCCUGCUUCCAGGAAAAGCCUCUAAGCAUCAGGUAACAUCAAAUCGUACCCCAAACCGACACAGGUGGUCAGGUAGAGAAUACCAAGGCGCUUGAGAGAACUCGGGUGAAGGAACUAGGCAAAAUGGUGCCGUAACUUCGGGAGAAGGCACGCUGACGCGUAGGUGAAGUGAUUUACUCACGGAGCUGAAGUCAGUCGAAGAUACCAGCUGGCUGCAACUGUUUAUUAAAAACACAGCACUGUGCAAACACGAAAGUGGACGUAUACGGUGUGACGCCUGCCCGGUGCCGGAAGGUUAAUUGAUGGGGUCAGCGCAAGCGAAGCUCCUGAUCGAAGCCCCGGUAAACGGCGGCCGUAACUAUAACGGUCCUAAGGUAGCGAAAUUCCUUGUCGGGUAAGUUCCGACCUGCACGAAUGGCGUAAUGAUGGCCAGGCUGUCUCCACCCGAGACUCAGUGAAAUUGAACUCGCUGUGAAGAUGCAGUGUACCCGCGGCAAGACGGAAAGACCCCGUGAACCUUUACUAUAGCUUGACACUGAACAUUGAGCCUUGAUGUGUAGGAUAGGUGGGAGGCUUUGAAGCGUGGACGCCAGUCUGCGUGGAGCCGACCUUGAAAUACCACCCUUUAAUGUUUGAUGUUCUAACGUGGACCCGUGAUCCGGGUUGCGGACAGUGUCUGGUGGGUAGUUUGACUGGGGCGGUCUCCUCCUAAAGAGUAACGGAGGAGCACGAAGGUUGGCUAAUCCUGGUCGGACAUCAGGAGGUUAGUGCAAUGGCAUAAGCCAGCUUGACUGCGAGCGUGACGGCGCGAGCAGGUGCGAAAGCAGGUCAUAGUGAUCCGGUGGUUCUGAAUGGAAGGGCCAUCGCUCAACGGAUAAAAGGUACUCCGGGGAUAACAGGCUGAUACCGCCCAAGAGUUCAUAUCGACGGCGGUGUUUGGCACCUCGAUGUCGGCUCAUCACAUCCUGGGGCUGAAGUAGGUCCCAAGGGUAUGGCUGUUCGCCAUUUAAAGUGGUACGCGAGCUGGGUUUAGAACGUCGUGAGACAGUUCGGUCCCUAUCUGCCGUGGGCGCUGGAGAACUGAGGGGGGCUGCUCCUAGUACGAGAGGACCGGAGUGGACGCAUCACUGGUGUUCGGGUUGUCAUGCCAAUGGCACUGCCCGGUAGCUAAAUGCGGAAGAGAUAAGUGCUGAAAGCAUCUAAGCACGAAACUUGCCCCGAG